AUGUUGUGUCUUAUAUCUCAAAUUGCACCAAUCCCGGCCUGCAUGUGGUCCCCGCUGGUUCGGGCAAGUUCGCUGAACGCACGUGGUAAAAAAACACAGAUCUUAAGCUGUGGCGACAUUUGCCUCCAGCGGGUUUCUAGCCUGUGACCACAGCUGGCGUUGUAAGUGAACCACCAAGUAGGUGUUCCAAGAGUGAUUCAAUACCGCAGGCCUGGAGAUGCCGCAAUAAGACAAGUCGGUCUCGGAUGACACAUCCUCCGUGCUGUUUUACAUCCAGCCAUCGAAGAUAGGUGCUUUCUCAGAAUGUCGACGGCCGACGGCGUGUGAAACUUUCAAGAAGGAAAACCGAGAAGAGAGUGGAAGAGGAAAUCGAGGAUUCGAUUGCUGGUUGGGACAUAAAGUAA